AUUGAACGCUGGCGGCGUGCUUAACACAUGCAAGUCGUACGCGAAAGGGACUUCGGUCCCGAGUAAAGUGGCGCACGGGUGAGUAACACGUGGAUGAUCUGCCUCUAUGAUGGGGAUAACAGUUGGAAACGACUGCUAAUACCGAAUACUCUCAUGAUGAACUUUGUGAGGAAAGGUGGCCUCUGCUUGCAAGCUAUCACAUACAGAUGAGUCCGCGUCCCAUUAGCUAGUUGGUGGGGUAACGGCCUACCAAGGCAACGAUGGGUAGCCAAUCUGAGAGGAUGAUCGGGCACACUGGAACUGAAACACGGUCCAAACUCCUACGGGAGGCAGCAGUGGGGAAUAUUGCGCAAUGGGCGAAAGCCUGACACACCGACACCGCGUGAGGGAUGAAGGUCUUCGGAUCGUAAACCUCUGUCAGAAGGGAAGAAACUAGGGUGCUCUUAUCAUCCUCCUACCUGACGGUACCUUCAAAGGAAGCGCCGGCUAACUCCGUACCAGCAGCCGUGAUAAUACGGAGGCAGCAAGUGUUAAUCGGAAUCACUGGGAGAAAAGCGCACGUAGGUUGUUAUAUAAGUCAGGGAAGAAAUCGCGCGGCUCAACCGUGGAACUGCCCAAGAUAUUGCACGACUGGAAUCCGGGAGAGGGUGGCGGAAUUCCAGGUGUAGGAGUGAAAUCCGUAGAUAUGAGGAGGAACAUCAGUGGCGAAGGCGUCCACCUGGACCGGUAUUGACGA
rnacentral:rRNA from 1 species